UCAGAUGGCCGGGUGAUCGCCCCAGUCCGGCGGCUUCGGCUGCUGGAGGGGAGGAAAGUCCGGGCUCCACGGAAUGACGGUGCCGGAUAACGUCCGGCGGGGGCGACCCCAGGGAAAGUGCCACAGAGAGCAAACCGCCCGGACUGCGGUCCGGGUAAGGGUGAAAGGGUGCGGUAAGAGCGCACCGCGCGGCUGGUAACAGCGGCGGCAUGGUAAACCCCACCGGGAGCAAGACCAAGUAGGGACGGCAGCUGUUAACCGUCGCGAGGAUCCCCGCACCGCCUUCGGGCACGCGGUGACAUCGGGCGGCAGGAGCAGCAGGCAGGAUUUCGGGCCGCCGUCCGGGUCGGUCGCACCGAGGUGUUCCGGUAACGGGCACCCCAGAUGAAUGAUCACCCAACGCCUUUCGGGGCGUGGACAGAACCCGGCUUACAGGCCAUCUGGCAUU
rnacentral:RNase_P_RNA from 1 species